GAUGAACGCUGGCGGCGUGCCUAAUACAUGCAAGUCGAGCGAACAGACGAGGAGCUUGCUCCUCUGACGUUAGCGGCGGACGGGUGAGUAACACGUGGAUAACCUACCUAUAAGACUGGGAUAACUUCGGGAAACCGGAGCUAAUACCGGAUAACAUGUUGAACCGCAUGGUUCAACAGUGAAAGACGGUCUUGCUGUCACUUAUAGAUGGAUCCGCGCCGCAUUAGCUAGUUGGUAAGGUAACGGCUUACCAAGGCAACGAUGCGUAGCCGACCUGAGAGGGUGAUCGGCCACACUGGAACUGAGACACGGUCCAGACUCCUACGGGAGGCAGCAGUAGGGAAUCUUCCGCAAUGGGCGAAAGCCUGACGGAGCAAUGCCGCGUGAGUGAAGAAGGUCUUCGGAUCGUAAAACUCUGUUAUUAGGGAAGAACAAAUGUGUAAGUAAAUAUGCACGUCUUGACGGUACCUAAUCAGAAAGCCACGGCUAACUACGUG
rnacentral:rRNA from 1 species